CCUACGGGAGGCAGCAGUGGGGAAUCUUGCGCAAUGGGCGAAAGCCUGACGCAGCCAUGCCGCGUGAAUGAUGAAGGUCUUAGGAUUGUAAAAUUCUUUCACCGGGGACGAUAAUGACGGUACCCGGAGAAGAAGCCCCGGCUAACUUCGUGCCAGCAGCCGCGGUAAUACGAAGGGGGCUAGCGUUGCUCGGAAUUACUGGGCGUAAAGGGAGCGUAGGCGGAUAGUUUAGUCAGAGGUGAAAGCCCAGGGCUCGAACCUUGGAAUUGCCCUUGAUACUGGCUAUCUUGAGUACGGAAGAGGUAUGUGGAACUCCGAGUGUAGAGGUGAAAUUCGUAGAUAUUCGGAAGAACACCAGUGGCGAAGGCGACAUACUGGUCCGUUACUGACGCUGAGGCUCGAAAGCGUGGGGAGCAAACAGGAUUAGAUACCCUGGUAGUCCACGCUGUAAACGAUGAGUGNUAGUUGUCGGUCG
rnacentral:rRNA from 1 species